GGGAGGGGGGGGGUGCUAUACAUGCAAGUCGAGCGAACUGAUUAGAAGCUUGCUUCUAUGACGUUAGCGGCGGACGGGUGAGUAACACGUGGGCAACCUGCCUGUAAGACUGGGAUAACUUCGGGAAACCGAAGCUAAUACCGGAUAGGAUCUUCUCCUUCAUGGGAGAUGAUUGAAAGAUGGUUUCGGCUAUCACUUACAGAUGGGCCCGCGGUGCAUUAGCUAGUUGGUGAGGUAACGGCUCACCAAGGCAACGAUGCAUAGCCGACCUGAGAGGGUGAUCGGCCACACUGGGACUGAGACACGGCCCAGACUCCUACGGGAGGCAGCAGUAGGGAAUCUUCCGCAAUGGACGAAAGUCUGACGGAGCAACGCCGCGUGAGUGAUGAAGGCUUUCGGGUCGUAAAACUCUGUUGUUAGGGAAGAACAAGUAUGAGAGUAACUGCUCGUACCUUGACGGUACCUAACCAGAAAGCCACGGCUAACUACGUGCCAGCAGCCGCGGUAAUACGUAGGUGGCAAGCGUUAUCCGGAAUUAUUGGGCGUAAAGCGCGCGCAGGCGGUUUCUUAAGUCUGAUGUGAAAGCCCACGGCUCAACCGUGGAGGGUCAUUGGAAACUGGGGAACUUGAGUGCAGAAGAGAAAAGCGGAAUUCCACGUGUAGCGGUGAAAUGCGUAAAGAUGUGGAGGAACACCAGUGGCGAAAGCGGCUUUUUGGUCUGUAACU
rnacentral:rRNA from 1 species